AGGAUGAUUUUCAUCAACAACAACAUUUGAUUUCCCAUUCGGAGAUGAUCCUAUAUUGUUGGAAAUACCUUAUGAAAAUAAGAGCCGAGAAGUCUGGUGAUGGUUACAGGUGGUUUUACCAAGUGGUCAUCUUUCUUGAAAUGAAAUCACAUCCGGUUCGGCGCCACUUAUUAGUUGAUUUUAUCCUUUCUGUUCGGUUUUUUUUUUCAAAAAUUAAUAAUAUAUGUUCUGAAUGAUUUAUGGUUUUUUUCUCAUGGUGAACCAUCAAUCUUUUGUGACAAUCGAACUCGGAGUGUUCGUCAACCAAAACAGUCGAAACACAAGGAGAAGCCACAGACUACCGAAAGUCAUGUUGAAGAAGGUGUUGCUGGGGAUAGUGUUGGUGACUUUCAACUUCCAAAUUUUGAGA